rnacentral:rRNA from 1 species
CCUACGGGUGGCAGCAGUGAGGAAUAUUGGUCAAUGGACGAGAGUCUGAACCAGCCAAGUAGCGUGAAGGAUGACUGCCCUAUGGGUUGUAAACUUCUUUUAUAUGGGAAUAAAAUGUUCCACGUGUGGGAUUUUGUAUGUACCAUAUGAAUAAGGAUCGGCUAAAUCCGUGCCAGCAGCCGCGGUAAUACGGAGGGUUCGAGCGUUAUCCGGAUUUAUUGGGUUUAAAGGGAGCGUAGGUGGAUUUUUAAGUCAGUUGUGAAAGUUUGCGGCUCAACCGUAAAAGUGCAGUUGAAACUGGCAGUCUUGAGUACAGGAGAGGUGGGCGGAAUUCGUGGUGUAGCGGUGAAAUGCUUAGAUAUCACGAAGAACUCCGAUUGCGAAGGCAGUUCACUGGACUGCAACUGACACUGAGGCUCGAAAGUGUGGGUAUCAAACAGGAUUAGAUACCCCUGUAGUC